rnacentral:precursor_RNA from 12 species
CUUGCAUCCGUCAGCACGUUGUUGCAAUAUUGGGGUUUCAAAGCGGCAUUUGCCUUGGUGGCUUUCAGAACAUGCAAUGCCCUUGGAAAUCCCAAAUGUGCACAACGAUCUCUUCACAAGUACAAA